AGAUUAUUUAACUAUAUAAGUAUAUAUUUUGAAAAUAUAAAAAAGAAAGGAAUUUUCUAAUAAUCUU
rnacentral:tRNA from 1 species